UACGGAGGAUGCGAGCGUUAUCCGGAUUUAUUGGGUUUAAAGGGUGCGCAGGCGGCACGGCAAGCCGGCGGUCAAAUCGCGGGGCUCAACCCCGCCCAGCCGUCGGAACUGCCGGGCUGGAGUGGGCGAGAAGUGCGCGGAAUGCGUGGUGUAGCGGUGAAAUGCAUAGAUAUCACGCAGAACUCCGAUUGCGAAGGCAGCGCACCGGCGCCCUACUGACGCUCAGGCACGAAAGCGUGGGUAUCGAACAGG
rnacentral:rRNA from 1 species